GAUGAACGCUAGCGGGAGGCUUAACACAUGCAAGUCGAGGGGCAGCAUAGGGUAGCAAUACUCUGAUGGCGACCGGCAAACGGGUGAGUAACGCGUAUGCAACCUACCCUGUACAGGGGGAUAACCCGGAGAAAUUCGGACUAAUAUCCCGUAAUAAUAUCCGGAGGCAUCUUUGGAUAUUUAAAGUUCCGACGGUACGGGAUGGGCAUGCGUAACAUUAACUGGUUGGUAAGGUAACGGCUUACCAAGGCUAUGAUGUUUAGGGGUCCUGAGAGGGUGGUCCCCCACACUGGUACUGAGACACGGACCAGACUCUUACGGGAGGCAGCAGUGAGGAAUAUUGGUCAAUGGGCGCAAGCCUGAACCAGCCAUCCCGCGUGCAGGAAGACGGCCCUAUGGGUUGUAAACUGCUUUUCCAGGGAGAGAAACUUACGCACGUGUUGCGUGACUGACGGUACCCUGGGAAUAAGCAUCGGCUAACUCCGUG
rnacentral:rRNA from 1 species